AGGAGCUUUUGGAUCUUCACGUUGCCUCCACAAAAACGAAAAUUAUUAUUGACUAGUUGAUGGAAUGAAGCCUAAUGGUGACAACAUUGUCUGGAUGUUUUGGAAGUAGAGCGGCUUAGUUUAGCUCACACACAAAAUUCUUCGCACUGAGGCUCGAGGAAUAUAAUGAAAUACUUUUCGUCAAGGCAUUACUUGUUUGCUUUCUUUUGCCCUCUUUUUAAAACUCGAGAAGGUUGACAUUGUUCAUACAAUCAUACCCAUAGUUUGCAAGAUGUUUUGAAUUAUCCUCGUGUUUUAGAAAAGCAAAAAUGAUUUUCUGCAAAAAUGAUUUUCUUUUAAAAAUCUUGUUGUAUUUUUACUAUUAGACUCAAAUCCUUUUGUUUCCUCCUAUGAAUGAUAUGCUCUAUAACGAUUUGCAAUGUGCCAUGGUUAGCUUGUAUAUAA